UUUCGUUGGAAUAAGUUUUUUGUGUAAUUAUAAAAACUAUUAAAAAUGACACCAAAGUCGGUCAUUUUAGUUGCUCUGUUGGCAGUACUGACGUUCAGUUUAUUAAUAAAUGAGGGCACAGCUGAACCGUGUACAUUUGCUGGGAUCGGUAUCAUUGGUACUGCUUGCUCGGAACAAUGUGAAAUUGCGCCUGCUAUUGGAAACUGUCCAACAGGACUUAAAUGUUGUUUAUUUGCCUGAUUUAACGUACCGUCAUUUUAAAUAUUGAAGAAACACUACAUCAGAGUUUUCAAUUUGGCUAAGAUGUAAACAGAACACUAUUCAUACAACCACAUUCAAAAAAAAAGUUAGCCAACUAAGAUCUUAGUUGACCUAAUGCGCAUGAGCACAAAAAAAAAUCAACUAACGUCUUAGUUGAUUUUUUUUUUCAUU